UUGGCCUAUUCAAUGGCUUCUAAAGAAAAAUAAUGAGGGAUGUCACGGGGUAUGACAAUAUAGGUCUUGUAGAAGAGAAACAGGCGCAUCUCUUGCGCAAGGUUUCGAAAGGCGCUAUGUUCAAAAAUCUGAAACUAGAGCUCAAAAUUUGAAAAAAAUUGUUAAAAACAGGGGGGUUGGCCUAUUCCAUGGCUUAUAGAGAAAAAUAAUGAGGGGUGUCACGGGGUAUGACUAUAUAGGUCUUGUAGAGGAGAAACAGGCGCAUCUCUUGCGCAAGGUAUCGAAGGGCGCUAUGUUCAAAAAUCUGAAACUAGAGCUCAAAAUUUGAAAAAAAUUGUUAAAAACAGGGGGAAUGGCCUAUUCCAUGGCUUCUAGAGAAAAAUAAUGAGGGGUGUCACGGGGUAUGACUAUAUAGGUCUUGUAGAAGAGAAACAAGCGCAUCUUUUGCGCAAAGUAACGAAGGGCGCUAUGUUCAAAAAUCUGAAACUAGAGCUCAAAAUUUGAAAAAAAAAUUGUUAAAAACAGGGGGGUUGGCCUAUUCCAUGGUUUCUAGAGAAAAAAUAAUGAGGGGUGUCACGGGGUAUGACUAUAUAGGUCUUGUAGAGGAGAAACAGGCGCAUCUUUUGCGCAAGGUAUCGAAGGGCGCUAUGUUCAAAAAUCUGAAACUAGAGCUCAAAAUUUGAAAAAAAUUUGUUAAAAACAGGGGGAAUGGCCUAUUCCAUGGCUUCUAGAGAAAAAUAAUGAGGGGUGUCACGGGGUAUGACUAUAUAGGUCUUGUAGAAGAGAAACAAGCGCAUCUUUUGCGCAAAGUAACGAAGGGCGCUAUGUUCAAAAAUCUGAAACUAGAGCUCAAAAUUUGAAAAAAAAAAUUGUUAAAAACAGGGGGGUUGGCCUAUUCCAUGGUUUCUAGAGAAAAAAUAAUGAGGGGUGUCACGGGGUAUGACUAUAUAGGUCUUGUAGAGGAGAAACAGGCACAUCUUUUGCGCAAGGUAUUGAAGGGCGCUAUGUUCAAAAAUCUGAAACUAGAGCUCAAAAUUUGAAAAAAAAAAUUGUUAAAAACAGGGGGUUUGCCUAUUCAAUGGCUUCUAGGGGAAAAUAAUGAGGGGUGUCACGGGGUAUGACUAUAUAGGUCUUGUAGAAGAGAAACAGGCGCAUCUUUUGCGCAAGGUAUCGAAGGGUGCUAUGUUCAAAAAUCUGAAACUAGAGCUCAAAAUUUGAAAAAAAAUGUUUAAAACAGGGGGGUUGGCCUAUUCAAUGGCUUCUAAAGAAAAAUAAUGAGGGAUGUCACGGGGUAUGACAAUAUAGGUCUUGUAGAAGAGAAACAGGCGCAUCUCUUGCGCAAGGUUUCGAAAGGCGCUAUGUUCAAAAAUCUGAAACUAGAGCUCAAAAUUUGAAAAAAAUUGUUAAAAACAGGGGGGUUGGCCUAUUCCAUGGCUUAUAAAGAAAAAUAAUGAGGGGUGUCACGGGGUAUGACUAUAUAGGUCUUGUAGAGGAGAAACAGGCGCAUCUUUUGUGCAAGGUAUCGAAGGGCGCUAUGUUCAAAAAUCUGAAACUAGAGCUCAAAAUUUGAAAAAAGUGUUAAAAACAGGGGGGUUGGCCUAUUCCAUGGCUUCUAGAGAAAAAUAAUGAGGGCUGUCACGGGGUAUGACUAUAUAGGUCUUGUAGAGGAGAAACAGGCGCAUGUUUUGCGCAAGGUAUCAAAGGGCGCUAUGUUAAAAAAUCUGAAACUAGAGCUCAAAAUUUGAAAAAAAAUAGUUA